UACGUAGGGUGCAAGCGUUGUUCGGAAUUAUUGGGCGUAAAGAGCUCGUAGGCGGUUUGUCGCGUCUGCUGUGAAAACUCGGGGCUCAACUCCGAGCUUGCAGUGGGUACGGGCAGACUAGAGUGCGGUAGGGGAGACUGGAAUUCCCGGUGUAGCGGUGAAAUGCGUAGAUAUCAGGAGGAACACCUGUGGCGAAAGCGGCUCACUGGACCACAACUGACGCUGAUGCACGAAAGCUAGGGGAGCAAACAGG
rnacentral:rRNA from 1 species